rnacentral:lncRNA from 1 species
AAUUAUUGUAUAUAUAUAUAUCAAAGAUAGAUCCAAUGUAAAAAGAAUUUUCAUUUGCAUAGCUCAAAUCCAUUUUUUCUUUUCUUCAGAGAUUUCCAUGGAGAUAGAGCAGAGAAAGAUCAUGAAUAGGGAAGAAGUUGAUACCGAAGAGAACGAUAAUCAACUGCCACUACAAGAAGAAGAACAAGAAACAGAGGAAGAAAUGUCUGGGAGGACGAUCGAACCGUGGACGAAGAUUCAGGAGCCUCGAUUUCGGCGAGAGAAACGGUUACCUCAAGGGCGUCGUCACAGAGAUCAUCCACGAUCCAGGACGCGGAGCUCCGUUGGCUCGCGUCGCGUUCCGUCAUCCUUUCCGUUACAAGAAGCAGAAGGAGCUCUUCGUCGCCGCCGAGGGUAUGUACACGGGGCAGUUUCUGUACUGCGGUAAGAAAGCAACUCUCGUCGUCGGAAAUGUGCCAUUCACAAGACAAGAGAACACAAUGAUUCAGACAUCUGCUGUUGCUUGUUACGGCAUCGCCGUCGGAGGUUAAGAACAUAACUUUCUUCUCUCUCCUUUUUUGCUGUUUCUUUUUGUUUCCUUGUGAAACAAGCAAAGAUUUAAUGAAUGAAUUGUAAAACAGUUCCAAACCUCUUAAAAAUAUAACUUUUAUGAUAAACUUUUGAGUUUGGUAAGUCACAACAAAAGGGUUGAUAUUGCUUUUACUUUGGGGAGUGUAUAUAAUAUAUAAUCAACUUGUAGAAUUUUCGAUUUAAAGUGUUUUUGAGCAACUAAUUUAAAAAUUUUUUAUUGUGUUUUUUUUUCAGGUGGGUUUGCUUCAUAUCUUCUGGGGUUAAACCAUAAGACAUAUGUGUUAUCUGGUCCAAACAUGGAAGGUAACUCUGAGAAGAGUGUGAAAGAACCAGGCCUUGGUUGGAUGACUGCUUAUCUCUUUGCAGUGUGUUUCAUCGGUCUUUUCGUCUUAAUCCCUCUCCGUAAGGUUAUGAUUAUUGACCUUAAGCUAACAUAUCCGAGUGGUCUAGCUACUGCUGUACUCAUCAACGGCUUCCACACACAAGGAGAUGCACAAGCCAAGUAAGUUAGUUAACCUUUUUUGUUUUGCUAAAACACAGUAAGUUAGUUAACCUACUUUGCAAAAAAACGAUUACUUUAAGUUUCCUAAUCUUUAAAAUGAAAUUGAUUUGCAGGAAACAAGUGCGUGGCUUCAUGAAAUACUUCUCAUUUAGUUUCUUGUGGGGAUUUUUCCAGUGGUUUUUCUCUGGCAUAGAAGGUUGUGGGUUUGCUCAGUUCCCAACCUUAGGUUUGAAAGCUUGGAAACAAACGUAAGCAUCAAUAAUAUAUACUGAAAAAGACAUUUUCUCAUAUGGAUUCUGUCGAGAUUAAUGGUUAAGUAAACUUAAAAAAAUCUUCCUCUUUUCAGGUUCUUCUUCGAUUUUAGCAUGACAUUUGUAGAGCAGGAAUGAUAUGUUCACAUAUGGUUAACCUUUCUUUGCUUUUAGGAGCUAUUCUCUCUUACGGCUUAAUGUGGCCUCUUCUUGAUAAACUAAAAGGCUCUUGGUUCCCUGAUAAUCUCGACGAGCACAACAUGAAGAGCAUAUACGGUUACAAAGUCUUCUUAUCCGUAGCUCUAAUCCUCGGCGAUGGUCUCUACACUUUCGUUAAGAUCCUCUAUGUCACCAUUGUCAGUAUCAACGCAAGAGUGAAGAACAAACCUAAUGAUCUUGAUUCCGUGGGAGACAAGAAACAACAUAAGUUUCGCAAGGAAGAUGAGAACUUCCUAAGAGAUAAAAUCCCCAUGUGGAUAGGAAUCUCUGGAUAUCUUAUCUUCGCCGCGGUCUCAACCAUCGUGGUCCCUCUGAUAUUCCCACAGCUCAAAUGGUACUACGUUAUCGUAGCUUACAUUUUCGCACCGUGUCUUGCUUUCUGUAACGCCUACGGAGCUGGACUUACGGACAUUAACAUGGCUUAUAACUACGGUAAGAUCGGUCUGUUUGUUCUCGCGGCGGUGACGGGAAGAGAGAACGGAGUUGUGGCCGGACUAGCCGGAUGUGGUUUGAUCAAAUCGGUAGUUUCGGUUUCUUGUAUCUUGAUGCAAGAUUUCAAGACGGCUCAUUACACGAUGACGUCACCUAAGGCUAUGUUCGCUAGCCAGAUGAUCGGGACGGUCGUUGGAUGCAUCGUGACGCCGUUAAGUUUCUUCUUGUUCUACAGAGCGUUCGACGUCGGAAACCCUAACGGCGAGUUUAAGGCUCCUUACGCUUUGAUAUACAGGAACAUGGCGAUACUUGGGGUGCAAGGCUUCUCUGCUCUGCCUCUUCAUUGUCUCCAAAUGUGUUAUGGGUUUUUUGGGUUUGCGGUUUUGGUCAACGUGGUGAGGGAUCUUACUCCGGAGAAGGUGGGGAGGUUCAUGCCGCUUCCGACGGCCAUGGCGGUUCCGUUUCUGGUCGGAGCGUAUUUUGCGAUUGAUAUGUGUGUUGGGACUUUGGUUGUGUUUAUUUGGGAGAAGAGGAAUAGGAGGAAAGCAGAGGUUAUGGUUCCGGCGGUCGCGUCGGGGCUGAUCUGCGGGGAAGGGCUUUGGACUUUACCUGCGGCUGUACUUGCACUGGCUGGUGUAAAACCUCCGAUAUGUAUGAAGUUUUUAGCUUCUUAGGAUCGGUCAAAAGAGGAAAAAAAAAAAAAAGACUUGUGAAGUUAUUAACUGAGUUGUGAAGUUAGAAGAAGCAAAUGAUAUUAUAAUCAUUCUGUUCUUUGAAUAAUAAGAAGACUUGCCAACAAAAACAUCUUGUUUUUUUUUCUUUCUUUUUCUUGUUUCGUAGGAAUCAGUGGCGGAUCUAGAAAGUUUUAUAAUGUUGGCUCUACAUCCGCCACUGGUAGGAAUUAGAGUAAAAUCUACUUGCAUGAAAUUGUGAUCUAAUCAAAGUAAUAAUUUUCACUCUGUUAGCAUCUCAGGGUGAGAAAAUUAUCUGGAAUAUGAAUUUUGAUAUGUUAUCACUAAUUCGAUUAUUAAUAUAAACAAUGUUUGGAUUUGAAUCGAGAUGUUGAAACUUAUGAAUUUAAAUACAUUUUUUUUUUUGAUGAAUAUACGGAACUGAGAUGAUAUAUUGCAAAAUGAUUAGGUAUUUUAGUUUCAGACAAAUCUAGUUAUAAUAGGAUUUAAUAAAUCUAGAAGCUUAAAAUUUUGAUGCAUCAUUAGAAAAGCUAAAAACUUCCUUUCCUAAAAAACGAUUUAGAUUUAAUUUUCUUUGUCUCUUCAAUUUAGUAAAGGACAUGAGAAACUGAUGGAAAUUUUUUGAUCUCAAAUUAAAAAUAUUUAACUUGGUUUGAUUCAGAAAAUAGUGGAGAUAUUUUUAGGUUAAAAUGCUAAAACCUAGCAUGGUCUACUUCUUGAUUUUUGAUGGGGUUUGAGUUUGACUCAUCCAAGGUAACAAAAAAACUCCAAGGUCUUUUAGUUUAGGCUUUAAAAAGGCUUAUAUUAGGCCCAUUUAAGAUAACCCCAUCUUAUCCCACUAGGGCUUUGCAAGACAUUUCCACAUAUAAAACCUCAUUUCCUCCUCGUCACAGAUCUCGAACCCUUACUUCCUUCCUCCCGCCGUAAACUCUCAGGAACACCACCCUCCUUCCACCAUGGGUCGUGUCAUCAGAGCUCAACGUAAGGGAGCGGGUUCCGUCUUCAAGUCCCACACUCACCACCGCAAGGGCCCCGCCAAAUUCAGGAGCCUCGAUUUCGGCGAGAGAAACGGUUACCUCAAGGGCGUCGUCACAGAGAUCAUCCACGAUCCAGGACGCGGAGCUCCGUUGGCUCGCGUCGCGUUCCGUCAUCCUUUCCGUUACAAGAAGCAGAAGGAGCUCUUCGUCGCCGCCGAGGGUAU